rnacentral:rRNA from 1 species
CCUACGGGUGGCAGCAGUGAGGAAUAUUGGUCAAUGGCCGGAACUCUGAACCAGCCAUGCCGCGUGAAGGUCAAUGCCCUAUUGGCGUUUAACUUGUUUUUUUCGGGAGCAAUAAUGGUCACGGUUGGCCAGACUAGAGUACCGUACGAAUAAGGAUCGGCUAACUCCGGUCCAUCAGCCGCGGUAAUACGGGGGAGGCAAGCGUUAUCCGGGUUUAUUUGGGUUAAAGGGUGCGUAGGCUGGGAGGUAAGUCAGCGGGGAAAUUCCCCCGGUCAAAGGGGUGCAGUGCGAUUGAUACUGGCUUGCUGGAAUGCGGCUGAGGUGGGAGGAAUGUGUGGUGUAGCGGUGAAAUGCAUAGAUAUCACACAGAACACCGAUUGCGAAGGCAUCUCACGAAUCCGUGAUUGACGCUGAUGCACGAAGGCGUGGGUAUCAAACAGGAUUAGAUACCCGGGUAGUC